GCAGCCGUCACUCCAUCUUCACAUUUGUUCUUCGAAGACUUGGUUGCAGCCUCUGCAUCACCAGUGUCAGGACAGCCACCUCGUCGCUGCCGUCGUAACCACCGCUAGGUAAGUGAGUCGCCGUCGAAGUUCGUCUUCCUAGGCCGCGUGUUCUCCUGUCCUCAUUUUCUCCUUCACAGGACAACGUUCGAGGAACCUAGUUGCAGAGUCUCCCCUAUUGCUGUCGAGUUCAACCACCUUCUUGUCGCCGUCAUAGCUUCUAUAACCUAGGCACAUCCAACCAAGUUCUACAGUCCUGGCAAGCCGUUUCCUCUGUUUUACCGGCUGGAGGGUAUAUUUGGCAGGGAUAGAACCACGGGAGCAGCAGCAGUUAGUGGCUUGGAUGCGGAGAGGAUGGCUGACCAUAUCCAGCAAUCUUCCGCUGACCAAAGAAAGAAUGCCUAACUAAUUGCUGAUGUCAUUGUUGGUGUGAACGAGAAGUUUAAGGGCAGUGAGAAGCUUACAUAGUUGGGUUCGGUGAUGAUGAGGUGGUGAGGACAAUUUUGAAGUUUGCUGAGAGUCCGAAUAUGUAUGCACACUUCUGGGGCUUGUCAGAUUCACAGAUGAUUGGCCUUGUGUGUUCCAUUACUAUUGAUUGACACUUGUUAUGUGGAUUUGACUUAGGAAAUUAAGUUUUUCACUAUAGGGUUUUAGUAUUUUGUGAGAUGGUUAUAUUUAAGAUGAUUUAACGCACAAACUUAUAUUUGGUAUAUAUUUGGAUGGAUAUUUUGGUAUUGCCUUUAUUUUGGUCUGUAUUGAAUAAGUUUUGGUGGCUUAGUACAAUCUUUUUGGUAUUG